AGUGAACGCUGGCGGCAGGCCUAACACAUGCAAGUCGAGCGGCAGCGCGGGGGCAACCCUGGCGGCGAGCGGCGGACGGGUGAGGAAUUCGUCGGAAUCUGCCUUUUUGUGGGGGAUAACGUAGGGAAACUUACGCUAAUACCGCAUACGUCCUACGGGAGAAAGUGGGGGACCGCAAGGCCUCACGCAGAAAGAUGAGCCGACGACCGAUUAGCUAGUUGGUGGGGUAAAGGCCCACCAAGGCGACGAUCGGUAGCUGGGCUGAGAGGAUGAUCAGCCACACUGGAACUGAGACACGGCCCAGACUCCUACGGGAGGCAGCAGUGGGGAAUAUUGGACAAUGGGCGCAAGCCUGACCCAGCCAUGCCGCGUGUGUGAAGAAGGCCUUCGGGUUGUAAAGCACUUUUGUCCGGAAAGAAAUCCCUGGAGCUAAUACCUUCGGGGGAUGACGGUACCGGAAGAAUAAGCACCGGCUAACUUCGUG
rnacentral:rRNA from 1 species